UGGCAAAUCAACAACCGACCAGAUAUUCACCAUGCGCCAAAUCGUGGAAAAGACCCUUGAAAGGAGAAUCGACACACACCACCUCUUCGUCGAUUUCACAGCUGCUUUCGAGAGCACGAAAAGUAGCUGCCUUUAUGCCGCGAUGUCUGAAUUUGAUAUCCCCGCAAAACUAAUACGACUGUGUAAACUGACGUUGAGCAACACGAAAAGCUCCGUCAGGAUCGGGAAGGACCUCUCCGAGCCGUUCGAUACCAAACGAGGUUUCAGACAAAAGUCGCCCUAUCAUGCGACUUUUUCAAUCUGCUGCUGGAGAAAAUAAUUCGAGCUGCAGAACUUAAUCGAGCAAGUACAAUUUUUUAUAAGAGUGUACAGCUGCUGGCGUAUGCCGAUGAUAUUGAUAUCAUGGGUAUAAUGGGUCUGGCAGUGAACGAGGGCAAGACGAAAUAUCUCCUGUCAUCAAACAAACAGUCGUCGCACUCCCGACUUGGCUCUCACGUCACUGUUGACAGCCAUAACUUUGAAGUCGUAGAUAAUUUCGUCUAUCUUGGAACCAGCGUAAACACCACCAACAAUAUCAGCCUGGAAAUCCAACGCAGGAUUGCUCUUGCCAACUGGUGCUACUUUGGACUGAGUAGGCAAUUGAAAAGUAAAGUCUUCUCUCGACAAACAAAAGCUAAACUAUAAGUCGCUCAUAAUUCCCGUUCUGCUAUAUGGUGCAGAGGCUUGGACGAUGACAGCAACCGAUGAGUCGGUUUAUGGUGCUUUUGCGCUUUGGCCACAGCGAAUAUCGCAUUCGAUGGAACGAUGAGCUGUACGAGAUAUACGACGACAUUGACAUAGUUCAGCGAAUUAAAAGACAGCGGCUACGCCGGCUAGGUUAUGUUGUCCGGAUGGACGAAAACACUCCAGCUCUGAAAGUAUUCGACGCAGUACCCGCCGGGGGAAGCAGAGGAAGAGAAAGACCUCCACUCCGUUGGAAGGACCAAGUGGAGAAAGACAUGCCUUCGCUUGGAAUAUCCAAUUGGCGCCACGUAGCGAAAGGAAGAAACGACUGGCGCGCUGUUGUUAACUCGGCUAUAAUCGCUUAAGCGGUGUCUACGCCAAUUAAGAAGAAGAAGAAUUUGUGUACUGUGUGGUGAAAGAAUAUUGGAAUUUAAAUUUGUGAUAAUGGGAAGUAAGUGAUUUCGCAUAUUCUCACACUGUGAUAAAAUACAAAUAUAACGUUACGCAUAGAAAUUGUUGAAAGUGAUAGAGUAGUUCCUGAGUUGUUACGCUACGCAAAUUUUCCAAUUUUUACAACGCAUCGCUUGAAACGGUUCAAUUUUAGUAGUAAAAUGGUAUGCUUCUGACAUAUUUAUUUAGGAAUUUAUGGCACCUUGAGCAGUUUUCAACAUAACCAUUUUAGGGUGAGAUGUCAAAAUAGUCCCUUAGCAAGUUUGGUCGACGUAGCUUAUGGUUUAUUGUUGUUUCAUCGCUAUUUUACUCAAGUUGAUACUUGCACAAACGGACGGACAGACAGUCACCCUAAAUUCAACUUGACUCGUCGUAACGAUCUUUUAUAUGUGUACAUACAUAUAUGCCUCUAUAUCGGACGCGAUUUGUUUAGGAUGGUACAAACAACCGUUAGGUGAACCAAAGUAGUCUAUAUGGUUUGUUCGGAAAGUUAUAGGGCUGAUUUUCUUCCGCCGCGAUUGUACUUCGAAGCGUGCGCGCACCUACUGUAUUCGGUUGAGGGCGUUCCUAGCUAACGAUUGAGCGACUGGUCAGUUGUUUCCGAGCACCUGGAGAGUAAUGACAAACAUUUUCUCUCGACGUGUUUCUGUGAGUGGUGCAAGCCGAUAAUGCAACGUUUGUUAGAGCAGAGGUACGCGAUUAAAUUCUGCGUGAAACUCGGUAAAUCUACGACAGAAACGUUUGAAUAACGUAAUCACAGGUUACGAGUCAUGGAUCUUUGAGUAUGAUCCCGAGAUAAAGAGGCAAUCUUCCGAGUGGCACACGGUGGCGUCUCCUCGCCAAAAAAGGGAAGAAUGAGUAGAUCCAAAGUGAAAAUGAUGUUCAUUGUCUUUUUUGACAUCAGAGGAAUCGUUUACCAUGAAUUUAUUCCUCCUAGACAAACCGUGAACGCCAAGUUUUACGUGGAAGUCCUCGAGAGACUCAAACAAAAGGUCAGUCGGACAUGACACCGACAAAAAGAAACCCUGGCCUAGGGGUAAAAAGGUAGGCCCCCCUCCCGAUCUAAUUAAUGAAAACAUGGUUCUGUUGAAAUCUGUUUACUAUCAUGGUUUAGGAACGUGCAACUUAAAUAAUAACAUUUUCAAUUAUUUAGAAACUAGAAUUGACCUUUUCGAAUAUUGACGGCCGCGAAAGCGUCGAUAAUAGUCUGGAAAUCCUAUUUCUUGGUUAAUUCUGCCUCUAGGUACAGCGUAGCUUGUUCUGAAAUCCUACCUUGUUACAAGCUUGAUCGUUGCUAAAGCACCAAACAAACGUUCUCCUAUUUAAAUUAAAACGAGUAAAGUGUAAAAUAGUUUCUAAGUGAUGCAAAUAGUAAGUAAAACGGGUUUCAAAAUUUGGUGUUUUUUUGUGAUCGAUCAGCAAGAAUAGAGAAAGCGAUAUAUCAGCUUAGAAAUCAUUCCUAGAAUUCCUCAUGCCAACAAGUGCUAUUUGUACCAGAUAAUGAAGAAGAUAAAUACUCUUUCAAUGAGGAAAAACAAGAUUUAAUUUUCAUAUCCGAUUAAAUCAUUUCUGAGAUCUUCGUGAUCUAAUUUUGUAUGAGUUGCCAGAGUUUUUUUAAACAAGAACUAUUGCACCCAAAUCAAUUUAUAUAUUGAAAAAUCUUCUAAAUGGGCUGAAAACUCGUUGACCUGAUCCAGAGAUUUUGCCACUAUUAAAAUAUCUCUAUCCUUCUCUUUGGAUAUUAUAUAGUGAAAAAAAUGUUUAGAGUUUGUUUGAUUCCUGAUGUGAAAACGUGAAUGUUAACGCAUAGCAAAGGCUUGUUCCGUGUUACGACAUAUCUGGUGCAGCUCAAAUAAUGCACCCUACUCAGGAAAACCUCAAGAGGCAGUAAUACCAGAAAAGAUCGCGAAUUCAUAAAAUGUUGUUAGAGAUGUCGCCAACUUUAAUCUUUAGCGCAGUCUGUAAUCCUUCAUGCAGGGGCUUUGUAGGGGUUAGUCGCCAGCGAUAAGAGAAGACACUAAUUUUUAAUCCCAAACAUAGCAAUGAAAAAGGUUUCAUCCAAAAAAAUCUGGAAACCCCAAAAAGCGGAUUGAACAAAAAAAUGUUUAAUCCCAAGGUUAUAAUUAAAGUUCAAAAAAAUAAGUUUACAUUUUUUCGCGUUUACGUACGCGUGUACGAAGGAGAACUUUCCUGAUAUUUUGUCCUUUUGCCAAAAAGGUAUAGUGUUAUGUCAAAAUUUUCCCUAACUCCAAUAUACCUAAGAUAAAGAUGCUAUCUUAUUAACUAUCUGUUUACUGCCUUACAUAUCGGCCAAUAUGGGAGACUAUCUAAGUACAUAUCGGUCAAUAUGGAAGACUAUCUAAGCAGUAUAUACAAGUAUAAUGAUUUUCGCUAUUUAUGUCAGAUAAAUCGACCGAUGAUCGUAGAAACAUGUUCUAGAGCAUACUUUUAAUAUACAGUGAAACCUCUACUUGUGGACACCUCCAAUAAGCGAACGCCUCUCUUAACCGGACAAAAAUUCAAGGACCAAGUUCUACUUUGCGUCUUCAGAACAAAUUUCCAUCUAACACCCGGACCCUCUAAUGACCCGGACACAUUUUGAUACUUUUGCAGCCAGUUGCUACAGAGUAUUAUAGUUACGUACGUACCACCUAAAACUAAGCGAGAUAGGUAUAGAGUUAUAUACAUAUGUAUAAAUGAUCAGGAUGACGAGAAAAGUUGAAAUCCAAAUGACUGUCUCUCUGUCUUUCCAUCCGUGCAAGCUGUAACUUGAGUAAAAAUUUAGAUAUCUCGAUGACACUUGGUAUGUGGGUUCCUUAGCAAAAAAAAAGUUUCGAAUUCGUAGAAGAGCGUAAUCGGAAGACUACGUCGCCCACAAAUCGUCAAGGGCCGUAACUAAGCAUCAAAUUAAGAUAUAAAACUGCAAUUUGGCACAGACAAUCUCAGUAACAAGGGGCACCUGUGGGCAAUAUUUUUUGAAAAAGUGGGCGUGGCCCCGCCCUCUAACAAGUUUAAUGUACAUAUCUCUUAAACCACUUAAGUACAAUAACCAAAUUUGCUGAGUACAAAUCUUAUAAGAACCUCAUUCACUCCCCAUAUAACGGUACUGUUGAAAACUAUUAAAAGCGCGACAAAUCAAUAACUAAAUGCGCCAGAAAAGUAAAAAUUUAUAGCCGGGAUAGUAUGACAAGGCUUUAUAGGGGCGGGGUAAAAAUUAAACGAUGGGCGCGGCACUGCCAAUUUUUUGUUAAAAUCCUAUAUUUCGUGACCCAACUGACCAAUUUCGACAAAAUUUGGAACGUGGCAUCAAUCGGACAAUAACCACGCCUACUUCCCAUAUAGCACAAUUUUAAAUUCCACUUAAUUCUUUUACUUCCCAGUACACAAAUCAAGAAGCAAUUAAUAUAAUGGGGUUAAACUUUGCACGAAUAAUGCCUUUAAUGUAUACCAUCUUAUGACAAAAAUCGAAAAUAUGACUUUAGAUCGAAAAUAUCGUUGAAAUCGGGUAAAUUCUUCGCUGAGCCCAUAUACCUAAUAUAAAGAUUUUCGAACUUCCUGAUGACUUUAUGCUGGAUAUAUCGGCCAAUAUUUGAGUUAUCUCAAUGAAAAUUUCAGAACCUAUUUUACUCAUACAGUAUACCAUUCUGCCUAAAAUGGAUACAAUUGACUAUGUAUAAUGAUUAGGGUUCUUCUAACAAAUUGUAUGCCGAAUAUAUAUAUAGAUCAUUGUAUAAGUUAUAUAUAGUGUAUGUAUAUAUAAAGUUUCUUAGAUUCCGAUCCUCUGGUUAACGUUUUACUCCUUAAAUAUUUCCCUGGCUUUAAUUCUAGCAAGUUGCAAGAGUAUAAAAUGUUCGGUUGCACCCGAACUUAGCUCUUCCUUACUUAUUUACUACUUUUUAUUUUCAUUACCUCUCGUAAGCGGACGCGGCCCUCUCGAUAACGGACAAGAAAUUUGAAUUGCUAAACGAAAGUGUAAAAAACAGUAAAAACCUCUGAUAAGCGGACGUGAAACUCUUAUUUGCGGAUAACGAAGACCAAAAGAAAACGGAACAAACAGUAACAUGUUAUGAUGCAACGGGAUCUAUAUUCGUGUUAAUCAAUUAACAGGGAAAAGAUGCCACAAAAAAAGAAAAUACUUUCUAUUAAAGAAAAAAUGGAAAUUUUAAAUGUGUUGGAGAAAGAAAAUUUAUCUGUUCAUGCACUCGGAAAAAGGUUAGUAAAAAUUUCUUUACUUUUAUUUGUUUGCUUUUAAUGAUUCGAUAUUUGAAAAACCCAGGCUGUCACUGUUCUGAAAAAAAGGAAGACAUUAAAGGGAUAUGGUUGAGUGGAGAUAACAUAAGUAAAUAAAAAGAAAAACUUCUUAAAUAGUGAUGGUUCAAAAAUAGACAAUUUGUGCGGGUCAAUUAGGAGCAUCAAAUGGAUGGUUGGAAAAAUGGCGGAAAGGACAUAAUGUGACUUUCAAAUGCAUAUGUGGAGAAUCUGCUGAGGUUAAUCCUGAGGAUGUACAUACAUCAAUUCAAACAAAAGCUACCAGACUUAUUAUUGGGCUACAGACCAGAAGAUACAUAUAUUUAACGCAGAUGAAACUGAAGCGAUUAUUGAAAGAAAGAUUAACAGUGCUAUUGUGUGUCAAUAUGGCUGGAGAUAAAGAAAAACCGUUAGUGUUCGGAGAAGCAACAUGCCCUCGAGCGUUAAAAAAUUGCGAUUGAGGAAGGCCGCCAGUUGAAUGGAAGUCAAAAAUCGAAAGCUUGGAUGUUUCGUGAAAUUACGUGUGAGCGCUACUAACGUUUGAUAAAAAAUGGGCUAUUUUUGGACAAUAUCACAAUUCACGCUCAGAAUAUUAAACUUAAUAACAUAAAGUUGAUCUUUUUACCUGCUAAUACAACAUCCGUUUGUCAGCCCCUUGAUCAGGGCAUUAUACAGUAUUUCAAAUGUCACUUCAGAUGCAAUAUUAUAAAACAUAUAUUGACAAGAGUAGACGACAUUUCAAUGAACAAACUUUAAAAAAUAUUUGACAUUUUGGAGGCUGUUUAUUUUAUUAAUACUGCAUGGGACAAUGUAACAAUGGAAACAAUAAAAAACUGCUUUUCAAAAGCUGGUUUUUAAACUUCGAUGCAGAGGACGAUAUUGCCAUAUUGACGUUAUCGGCUUUGAUAAAGAUUUUAAAUUAAAAUGUGGAAGGGCAGCAUUCCGACGACUUCUUGUUAAUCAACGAAAUUGUGACUACAGAUGACAAUAAUAUUGACAUUAUCAUUGACGAAAAUGUUACAAAGGAAUUAUCUGAUAAAGAAACCGAAGACCUAAAUGAAGUAUGCUCCCAAUAAAUAAUGUAUGUAGAAUUUAUUAUAACUAUGAAAUAUCUGACAAUAAAAAUGAAAUAUGUAAAUAAUGA